CGAUGGUCAGGGGAAGUAAUUGUUGAAGUCUAUGAUUUUGUUUGUUUGUCUAUGAUUAUCGUUCGUGCAAAUGGUGGCGCUGUUUGGAAAAUUUGAAAACAACACGAUUCGCAAUUUAUUUGGAUUUCGAAGAUCCUGGUCCUGGCUGAAAUUUAGAGUAUUGCAGCUGUAGUCUGUAUACCAUACACUCAACAUGAAAAGGAAUGUCAGGAUGCUGCAUAAAAUGGUCUUAGCUAGAGCCUAGAAUGUUAAUUUCUUGGGACUAUGCUGCAAGGAACUGACGGGGAGCAGUUUUUCUUACCAAUCAUAGAAGCAGUAAGAGACAGCCAAAGAAGUACUCGAACACCUGAAUUUAUGCUGCACUUGAACUGUAUUUUUUUAAUAAAAUAUCUGGAG